rnacentral:rRNA from 1 species
AACGAACGCUGGCGGCAUGCCUAACACAUGCAAGUCGAACGAGACCUUCGGGUCGAGUGGCGCACGGGUGCGUAACGCGUGGGAACCUGCCCUUAGGUUCGGAAUAACUCCCCGAAAGGGGUGCUAAUACCGGAAAAUGUCUUCGGACCAAGGAUUUAUCGCCUUUGGAUGGGCCCGCGUUGGAUUAGCUAGUUGGUAGGGUAAAAGCCUACCAAGGCGACGAUCCAUAGCUGGUCUGGGAGGAUGAUCAGCCACACUGGGACUGAGACGCGGCCCAGACUCCUACGGGAGGCAGCAGUGGGGAAUGUUGGACAAUGGGCGAAAGCCUGAUCCAGCACUGCCGCGUGAGUGAUGAAGGCCUUAGGGUUGUAAAGCUCUUUUACCCGGGAUGAUAAUGACAGUACCGGGAGAAUAAGCUCCGGCUAACUCCGUG